rnacentral:rRNA from 1 species
AUUGAACGCUGGCGGUAUGCUUAACACAUGCAAGUCGAACGGCAGCACAGACUGUAGCAAUACAGUUGGGUGGCGAGUGGCGGACGGGUGAGUAAUACGCGGGAAUCUGUCUUGGAGUGGGGGAUAACUCGAGGAAACUCGAGCUAGUACCGCAUAUCUAGUUUACUAGAAAGGGGGCCUCUUCUUGAAAGCUCUCGCUC